UAAACACUGUUCUCUGGUUAGUUUUGCAGGUUUGCAUCCAGCUGUAUGAUACUCUGCUGUGCAAAUCCAUGCAAAACUGACUGUGGCAGUGAAAAG
ensembl:miRNA MIR19B1 microRNA 19b-1